UACGGAGGGUGCAAGCGUUAUCCGGAUUCACUGGGUUUAAAGGGAGCGUAGGUGGGCUGGUAAGUCAGUGGUGAAAUCCCCGAGCUUAACUUGGGAACUGCCAUUGAUACUAUCAGUCUUGAAUACUGUGGAGGCUAGCGGAAUAUGUCAUGUAGCGGUGAAAUGCUUAGAUAUGACAUAGAACACCAAUUGCGAAGGCAGCUUACUACACAGUGAUUGACACUGAGGCACGAAAGCGUGGGGAUCAAACAGG
rnacentral:rRNA from 1 species